GUGCCAGCCGCCGCGGUAAUACGUAGGUGGCAAGCGUUAUCCGGAAUUAUUGGGCGUAAAGCGCGCGUAGGCGGUUUUUUAAGUCUGAUGUGAAAGCCCACGGCUCAACCGUGGAGGGUCAUUGGAAACUGGAAAACUUGAGUGCAGAAGAGGAAAGUGGAAUUCCAUGUGUAGCGGUGAAAUGCGCAGAGAUAUGGAGGAACACCAGUGGCGAAGGCGACUUUCUGGUCUGUAACUGACGCUGAUGUGCGAAAGCGUGGGGAUCAAACAGGA
rnacentral:rRNA from 1 species